rnacentral:rRNA from 1 species
AAGGCUCGUAGUUGGAUUUCUGUCGAGAACGCGCGGUCCACGCUUUGCGUGAGCAUCUGUGUCGGUCUUGGCAUCCUCUAGUGGAUCGUUCCUGCGCUUGAUUGCGUGGAGCGGAACGCUAGACUUUUACUUUGAGGAAAUUAGAGUGUUCACGGCAGGCAAACGCCUUGAAUAUAUUAGCAUGGAAUAAUAACAUAGGACCUUGGUUCUAUUUUGUUGGUUUCUAGAGCUGAGGUAAUGAUUAAUAGGGAUAAUUGGGGGCAUUCGUACUUAACGCGUCAGAGGUGGAAUUCUUGGAUUGCGUUACGACGAAUUACUGCGAAAGCAUUUGCCAAGGAUGUUUUCAUUGAUCAAGAACGAACGUUAGGGGAUCGAGGACGCUUA